rnacentral:rRNA from 1 species
AUUGAACGCUGGCGGCAGGCCUAACACAUGCAAGUCGAGCGGAGCGGCGGACGGGUGAGUAAUGCCUAGGAAUCUGCCUGGUAGUGGGGGAUAACGUCCGGAAACGGGCGCUAAUACCGCAUACUAUCAGAUGAGCCUAUGUCGGAUUAGCUAGUUGGUGGGGUAAAGGGCUACCAGGGCGACGAUCCGUAACUGGUCUGAGAGGAUGAUCAGUCACAAUGGAACUGAGAAACGGCCCAGACGCCUACGGGAGGCAGCAGUGGGGAAUAUGGGACAAUGGGCUAAGGACUGAUCGAGCCAUGCCGCGUGUGUGAAGAAGGUCUUCGGAUUGUAAAGCACUUUAAGUUGGGAGGCGUUACCAACAGAAUAAGCACCGGCUAACUACGUGCCAGCCGCCGCGGUAAUAC